UACGAAGGGGGCUAGCGUUGCUCGGAAUCACUGGGCGUAAAGCGCACGUAGGCGGGUCCUUAAGUCAGGGGUGAAAUCCCGGAGCUCAACUCCGGAACUGCCUUUGAUACUGGGGAUCUUGAGUCCGGAAGAGGUGAGUGGAACUCCGAGUGUAGAGGUGAAAUGCGUAGAUAUUGGGAGGAACACCAGUGGCGAAGGCGGCUACCUGGACCGGAUCUGACGCUGAGGCGCGAAAGCGUGGGUAGCAAACAGG
rnacentral:rRNA from 1 species